rnacentral:tRNA from 2 species
GUGCCUGUAGCUCAAUUGGAUAGAGCAUCUGACUACGGAUCAGAAGGUUGGGGGUUCGAGUCCCUCCAGGCACACCA